rnacentral:tRNA from 1 species
UGCUUGGGUAGCUCAGUUGGUAGAGCACUUGCCCGCCUAAGGCAAAGGUCCCGAGUUCGAGUCUCGGUCCGGCAC